CUUUUAAAGGAUAACAGCUAA
rnacentral:tRNA from 1 species